rnacentral:rRNA from 1 species
UACAGAGGUCCCAAGCGUUGUUCGGAUUCAUUGGGCGUAAAGGGCGCGUAGGCGGCGCGGUAAGUCACCUGUGAAAUCUCCUGGCUCAACUGGGAGCUUGCAGGCGAAACUGCCGUGCUGGAGUGUGGGAGAGGUGCGUGGAAUUCCUGGUGUAGCGGUGAAAUGCGUAGAUAUCAGGAGGAACACCUGUGGCGAAAGCGGCGCACUGGACCACAACUGACGCUGAGGCGCGAAAGCUAGGGGAGCAAACAGG